rnacentral:rRNA from 1 species
CCCAGACUCCUACGGGAGGCAGCAGUGAGGAAUAUUGGUCAAUGGACGAGAGUCUGAACCAGCCAAGUAGCGUGAAGGAUGACUGCCCUAUGGGUUGUAAACUUCUUUUAUAUGGGAAUAAAACGUUCCACGUGUGGGAUUUUGUAUGUACCAUAUGAAUAAGGAUCGGCUAACUCCGUGCCAGCAGCCGCGGUAAUACGGAGGAUCCGAGCGUUAUCCGGAUUUAUUGGGUUUAAAGGGUGCGUAGGCGGGCUUUUAAGUCAGCGGUAAAAAUUCGGGGCUCAACCCCGUCCGGCCGUUGAAACUGGGGGCCUUGAGUGGGCGAGAAGAAGGCGGAAUGCGUGGUGUAGCGGUGAAAUGCAUAGAUAUCGCGCAGAACUCCGAUUGCGAAGGCAGCAUGCCGGCUCCACACUGACGCUGAGGCACGAAAGCGUGGGUAUCGAACAGGAUUAGAUACCCCCGUA